rnacentral:lncRNA from 1 species
AUGAAGCUGUGUGUGGGGGUGGGGGGUAGGGUCUGUGUAUGUGAGCGAAGGAGGGUUUGUGUGUGUUUGUGUCUCACAACAAACCACCCCAGCAACAAGGAUCUAGGGCUCUUCCAUCCCCAAGCUCGUGUCCCGGUGGUGUGGCGGUGUGUUGCGUCCCUGAGCCGGGCCUCGGCCUGGGAGUUUUCCCUGCCCGGGUCCAAAAUGGAAAAUGGCGGUGUUCUCCCGUGGAGGAGUAGGGCCGGUGCCCACUGCCCACAGCCCACCUUCCCGCCCUCCCACUGCCCUCCAGUUGACCGGUUGGAACCCAAGUGCCAGUCAGAUUCGGGCAUCCGCCUCAGCUCCUACCCACCCGGUCAAGGCCUUCGACCUCCCGACCUCCCAGCCUCCCGGCCUUCCACCCCCCUCGAGGCUUCCUGGCCUCGCUCCUCCCGGCCGGAGAAAGGAUGGAGCAACAGCUUCGUGCUCGAAGAGACAAAGCAGUCGCCCCGACUUGUCGUUCCCCAGCGUUGUCCCCAGCUGAAUUUUCAUUUUUCACCUGAAUCUGCCCCUGACCUCCCGUCAUCCCCCCUUCCUCUGGGAAGAAUUCUCAUUUAGGGGAGGACCGUCUGCCACCCUCUCCCGUUUUAUACUUCUUCCUCCUUCCUGACUUGCACUAGUUCCGCGACGGAAAUACAGAGACACUGGGAGUCCCUUUGGUUGACGGAUUAUGCCAGAAAAGAGAUAAUUCCAAGGAAAUAUCUCCAACGGGCUCCCGCGCCAAAAAGCACAAGCAAAGACGGACUCAGCACAAAGAACUCCAUCCUCUCCCUUCCCGGUCGGCUUGGCUGGGCCUCCGAGCCUCAGAUCUUCCCAGCGGGAAGUCGGAACUCCGCUUUUCUGCCGGGGAUUUGGCAGGACACGCUGUCUUCCUCAACCAGGGUGUCGCUGUCAUUCCUCCGAAAUCAAACGAGUCUGACCGCUCUGAAACCGUCAGCCGAUUCCUUUGGGGUUUACGCGGUUGGAGAUCCAGGGUGGGAUGAAAAACAGGAGAACAAAAGGCAAGCCCGUUCUCUCUUCGCGUGAGUUCGGGAAUCGUCUCUUCUUCCACAGCCAGGGCGGUGAGAAACCCGAGGAGCACGAUAAUGAAUGAUUGGAGUCUAACUGGGUGCCGGUCACUGUACUAAGCGCCGGGGUGGAUACGAGAGAGGUGGAUACAGGUGGAUACACAGAGAAGCAGCACGGCGUAGCGGGUAGAGCCGGGCCUGGGAGUCGGAAGGAGCGGGGUUCUCAUCCCCGCUCUGCCAUUUGUCCGCUGUGUGACCUCGGGCAAGUCGUUUCACCUCUCUGGGCCUCGGUUAUCUCAUCUGGAAAAUGGGGAUGAAGACUGUGACCCCCCCACGUGGGACAUGGACCUGAUUACUCUGUAUCUACCCCAGCGUUUAGUACAGUGCCCGGCUCACAGUAAGAACUUAAUACCACAGUUAUUAUUAGGCGGGGCAGGGACGCUGUCCAAGCUGAUUGGCUUGGAUCUACCCCAGUGCUUAGCACAGUGCCUGGCGCAGAGUAAGCGAGCGAAUACCAUAAAAAAAGAAAGAAAACAAUGGGGUUCUCUCCUCUGUCGAUCGUGUGCCCCCCCUCGGAAUCAGAACUUGCCAGGGCGAAUCCCUGGCCAAGGCGAGCUGGGGGACUGGGAUGUAGAGGUCACAAAGCCGACGUGUGGGGAGCCGGGAUUAGAACCCAGCUCCUCCCGGCACCCGGCCAGGAACCAGUGCCGAAGCAAUGCCCAGCCUCCGGAAGCGGAGGGAGAUUUUGUUGAGGGCCAAGUCGGAUUAAAUCUGGCAGACUCCAGUGUCUGUUGGCGGCCAAACUACGGUUCGAAGGCCCCUGGCGACUGAGUAGACGUCUACUUCCGGGUGUCUCCAGAAGCAGCGUGGCUCAGUGGCGAGAGCCCGGCCUUGGGAGUCAGGAGGACCUGGGUUCUAAUCCCGGCUCUGGACAUGUCGGCUGGGUGGCCUCGGCAAGUCACUUGACUUCUCUGGGCCUCAGUUCCCUCAUCUGUAAAAUGGGGAUUAAAACCGGGAGCCCCACGUGGGACAACCCGAUUACCUUGUAUCUACCCCAGCCUUUAGAACAGCGUUUGGCACAUCAUAAGCGCCUAACGAGUAGCAUUUUUUUAAAUUUCUCGAGCUCCUCCUUUGUACAAGAGACGGACCCAAGCGCUUGGGAGAGGCCAGUGAAAUGGCUUGACGCGCUCUAGAAGCUUCCCCUGAAUGGUACCAGGAGUUAGCAGAAUGUGUCCGCCAGCUCCGUUAUAGUGGACUCUCCCCAGCUUUUAGUACAGUGCUCUGCACAAGGUAAGCGCUCAGUAAAUACCAUCGAUCCCUCUGGACUGUAAAUUCAUUACGAGAGGGGAUGUUUCUGCUCGUUCUGUUGGAUUGCACUCUCCCAAGUGCUUAGAACAGUGCUCUGCACACAGUAAGCGCUCCAGUGGUUGACGGAUUGGACGGAUCGAGUCUUCUUGGAGAAGAGAGAUGGACAGAAGGACGGACUUGACCACCACCACAUCCAGUGUGAAGCAGCGUGGCCUAGUGGGUAGAGCCCGGUCCCGGGAGCCAGAAGGAUCUGGGUUCUAAUCCCUGCUCAGCCGCUUUUCAGCUGCGUGACCUAGGACAAGUCGCUUCACCUCUCCGUGUCUCCGUUCCCUCGUCGGGAAAAUGGGGAUUAAGGCUGUGAGCCCCACGGGGGACCCGGACUGUGUCCAACCUGGUUACUUUGUACGUUCCCCGGCGUCCAGAACGGUACGUGGAGCAUGGUAAGUGCUUAACAAAUGCCAUAAAACAAAAGAAAACGGAAGGAAAAGAGUCCGCGAUCGGCCGGAGAUCCCAGCGGAGUCGCGAGACCCUUCGGGAAUCUUAGUGCUGGGAGAAUAGUAAGCGCUUAACAAAUACCAUCAUCAUUAUCCGCGGGAGCGAGAACGAGCCCGGAAACCGCUCCCAUUUUCGAGUCGGGCCAGUCGAGGAUCUUAGGCCAACGAGAACGCCUCCCCUUCCUCAGCUUCGCGGAGAAUCCUCUCCCGUUUUUUACGCGCCUCGGAGCUUCCUGAUGUCCGCGUCGUAGGCUGCCGUUUCUCUGGAAUCGGUAGCUCGAACUUUGGCGGGACGCUGAAACAUCGGGUUCACCCCUUUGCUCGGUUGUGAAGCACAUGACGGAGGUUCUUUUUGAAAUAAAGCACUUUUUAGAGAGACGGAGUCUCGUGGUUCGGCCGCCCUUGAUUCAUUCAGUCGUAUUUAUUGAGCGCUUACUCUGAGCAGAGCGCCGUACUAAGCGCCUGGAACGGACAGAGACGAUCCCUACCCAACGACGGACCUUGGAUCUGUCCGGGCCUUGGAGAGCAGGGGUGACAAAACUGGAACUCUAGCCCCGAAACUCGUCGGGGGCGGGGGAUGCAUCUGUUUCUUGUCGUAUUGUCCUCCCCCAAGCGCUUAGUACAGCGCUCUGCAGGCGGUAAGUGUUCAAUAAAUCCGACUGACUGGCGGGAAAUGGAUCGGGUUGGAUCCUGGUGGGAAGGGGACAGUCAAGAGAUUGUCUGUGGGUUGUGAUGGGGACUCAACGACCCCCCCAGUGAAAAGAGCCCGGGCUUGGCAGUCAGAGGUCAUGGGUUCGAAUUCCGGCUCUGCCCUUUGUCAGCUGGGUGACUGUGGGCAAAUCACUUCACUUCUUUGGGCCUCAGUUACCUCAUCUGUAAAAUGGGGAUUAACAGUGUGAGCCUGAUGACCUGUGUCACAUCACAACCUGAUGACCCUGUGUCUACCCCAGCGCUUAGAACAGUGCUCUGCACAUAGUAAGCGCUUAACAAAUACCAACAUUAUUAUUAUUAUUAAAACGCCGCUUUGUCAGGCAGGUUGUAUUUAUUGAGCGCUUACUGUUGGACUUAGUCGAUUGUGAGCCUGUUGUUGGGUAGGGAUUGUCUCUCUUUGUUGCCGAAUUGUACUUUCCGAGCGUUUAAUACAGUGCUCUGCAG